rnacentral:tRNA from 1 species
GGAGGGAUCGCAUAGUGGCCUAGUGCGGCGGUCUUGAAAACCGUUAUGUCCGUAAGGGCAUCGUGGGUUCGAAUCCCACUCCCUCCGCCA